rnacentral:rRNA from 1 species
GACGAACGCUGGCGGCGUGCUUAACACAUGCAAGUCGAACGGAAAGGCCCGGCUUGUGUGGGGUGCUCGAGGGGCGAACGGGUGAGUAACAGGUGAGUAACCUGCCCUUGACUUUGGGAUAACUUCAGGAAACUGGGGCUAAUACCGGCUAGGAGCUCCUGCGGCAUGGCGGGGGUUGGAAAGGUUCGGCGGGUGGGGAUGGACUGGCGGCUUAUCAGCUUGUUGGUGGGGUAGUGGCGUACCAAGGCUUUGACGGGUAGCCGGCCUGAGAGGGGGACCGGCCACAUUGGGGCUGAGCUGCGGCCCAGACUCCUCCGGGAGCCAGCGGUGGGGCAUAUUGCGCAAUGGUCGGAAUCCUGAUGCAGCACCCCCGCGUGCGGGAUGCCGGCCUUCGGGUUGUUAACCGCUUUCGAAUGUGCCGAAGCGGGAGUGGGGGUAAUUGGUAAAGAAGCACCGGCUAACUCCGUG